GAUGAACGCUGGCGGCAUGCCUAGCACAUGCAAGUCGAACGGGCAGUGGUGUUUCCUGUGGCGGACGGGUUAGUAACGCGUAAGAACCUGACCUUGGGAGGGGCACAACAGCUGGCAACGGCUGCUAAUACCACGCAGGCUGAGGAGCAAAAGGAGGUAUGCGCCCGAGGGUGGGCACGGGACUGAUUAGCUAGCUGGUGAGGCAAUAGCUGACCACGGCGAUGAUCAGUAGCUGGUGCGAGAGGAUGAUCAGCCACACUGGGACUGAGACACGGCGUAGACUCCUACGGGAGACAGCAGUAGGGAAGAUGCCGCAAUGGGCGAAAGGCUGACGGAGCAAUGCCGCGUGGAGAUAGAAGGCUUACGGGUCGUGAACUUCGUUUCCCGGAGAAGAAGCAAUGACGGUAUCUGGUGAAUAAGCAUCGGCUAACUCUGUG
rnacentral:rRNA from 1 species